ensembl:lncRNA
UUUGAAACGAACCAAUACACUUUAUGUUUCCAAUGGGCUCAUCAUGCGGCCCCUUGCAGUAUGACUUCCAUCCCUAUUGAUAUUACAAAUCAGCGUCUGCUGUCACAGAUGCACCCUGAAGUGGUUGGGGGCGGCAUUUGGCUCAGGAGGCAGAGCGGGUUGGAUGGUAACCGGAAGGUUGCUGGCUCGAUCCCGGGCUUCUCCUCGCGUGUCGAGGUGUCCCUGAGCAAGGCACCUCCCCUUUGACGGCCCCGGACGAGCUGGCUGUCGCCUUGCGUGGUUGACUCCACCAUCGGUGUGUACAUGUGUGUAUGAAUGGGUGAAUGUGAGGCAAUAUUGUAAAGCUCUUUGAGGGGCCACUUGAUCGAAAAUGCAGGCCAGUUAAGUGUGUAUGUCCCAUACCAGACACGCACCCAUGCCCACUCUGAGAGCACCGGGUAUCGUGAGCAGAGCAAGGUUCCAAAGCUCAUUAAGGACUUGCUGGAAACGAUGUGAAAUGUCCGGGAUGACGCGACACCGUGUUCAUUCAUUAAUGAGGAAUACUUGGGUAAAAACGAGCCAUUUUCCUGACAAUCCCGGUAACGUUUUACAUGCUGCGACCCCGCAAACUGUCGCUCAUUAAAAACCACCUCUCUUGUGAAAAACGUUCCUCUUUGUCGCCGCCUCCGCGGCGUUCCGGGAUUCGUCCUGUGCGUCUGAUUUGGAUGGAUUGUUGCCGAGUCUGACUCCAGCCCACCCUGGGAGCAGCUGUGUAUUAGCACUGAUCACUCUCCUCCCGUCACCUAGCAACAAAGCACCGGCCUUCUCAUACUCGAAUCAAAAACCCCUCUCAAACCCUGUUGUGCUGUUCUGCCAGCACUGUACCCAGGCUCACCCGCAAGAUAAUCUCCAGUGCGUCACACACGUCCUGCUGGUGGUCAGCUAAUCUGCGAGUCGAUUGGUCAAACCAGUAGCGGAGGUAGCUCAGGAGGUGGAGCGGGUUGACUGGUAACCGGAAAGGUUGCUAGUUCAGCCCCCCGGCUCCUCCUAGCUGGGUGUCGAGGUUUCCCUGAGCAGCCAAGACGCCUCAUCCUGACUGCUCCCAAAGAGCUGGCUGUCGCCAUGCGUCGUUGGUGUGUGAAUGUUUGCAUGGACCGUUGUAAGGCGCUUUGGAUAAAAGCGUCUGAUAAAAAUCCCGUAAAUGAAGAUGAGGUGAUGGGUCUAACCGUCCCGGGCCAAUCAUUCCUCCGUCGUCGUGGUUACACCACUUUCAGGCUACUGACACCGCCCUCCUGGGCUUGAAGUGCCCCGCCCUCCUGGCGUCGGUCGACGGUUCUGAGUGGCUGCGGGAGACGGGGGCGGCGUUCUGCGGGGACAGGACGCACCUCAACAGGUCGGGCAGGGGGUCCGGCACGACGACCUGCUCCACCAGGAAGACCACUGGCUGGACGACCAAUAGGAGGGCCCAGCCCAGCGCGCCCAGCCAAUAGGAGGAGCCCAGGGCCGAGAGGUCGUGCUGAAUCUCCUCUUGGUACUGAC